GGUCACACUAGUAAAACGUAAGUGGUUGAAACUUUGAAAAUAAUUUGUUUAAGUUUCGGCUUUUUAUUUAACAACGUAAAGUAGUCUUUCGCUGAAUUGCCUUCGAUGGCCACCACUAUAAUCCCUCAGGCUACCUUGGCAAUUUCAAGUUUCCUUGGAGGUGGCACUAAAAACGUCUAAACGUCUUUGGUUGCACGGCUAAGCCACAGCAGGUCGGAAACACCUGGACUGGCCCAUAACCACAACAACCUCAUAGAGCCGGCCCACUCUGCAGUUUAUUUAAAUUAAACCUUUUUUCACACAGGCAUCCGCUUGGCUGGCUUUCCUACGGUGUAUUUUGUUCGGUAUUUUUUUUUCAAUUAACUUUCUAGGCCAGCCGCAAAACAGCAACAAAAUACAAGCAAGUAGACAAGCAGCUGUUGAUGAUAAUGAUGAUGACGACGAUGUUGGCGACGACCGAGAAGAAGUCCAACAAAUUGCAAAAUCCCCUCCAAGCCAUACGAAGCAUGACACCUAGGGCAGGGCAAACAUCUUUCAGCCCUUUGGGCAGUUUUCCACAGGGUCAGCCAGUGUGGAAAGAAUAGCAAGUGGUAGCAAAAUGCUGAAGGGGCAACAGCAGUCAAGGCAAAAACGGACGAGAACAUUGGGUAAAGGUUA